rnacentral:rRNA from 1 species
UUGAAAGGGAAACGAUUGAAGUCAGUCGUACCAGCGGGAAAUCAACCUUUCGAGUGGGGUUUUGGAGUUUUGAAGAGUGUCAAAACCUUUGAGAUUUCAAAAUUUUCGCUCCUUUGGCGUACUUUCUCGUGGGUAGGUUAACAUCGAUUUCGAUCAUCAUAAAAGGAUUGGAGGAAUGUAGCUUCGAUCUUGUAUUGAAGUGUUAUAGCCUUUGGUAAAUGUGAUGAUUGGGAUCGAGGAUUGCAACGAAUACCCUUUUGGGCUAUCCGCCUGAUCUCUGAUACGUGGCCUUGGCAUCGAAAGCUUGCUUAUGGUAUUNAGGUAUUACGGUCAAAAGGUUAGAACGGAUUACAUUCGUUAAGGAUGUUGACGUA